UGCAACUGGCUACUUUCCGAUGUUAAUCUU
rnacentral:piRNA from 1 species